rnacentral:other from 1 species
AAGGUUCUGCAAUGUUUGUGGUUUGACAAUUAGUUGUUCCAACACUUUAACAUUGGGAGUCCGGGUCUAAAAGUGGAGCAAAUGCCUUAAUUUUAAGGACUUGCGAAUCUGAUAGCAGGGCACCCACCUAUUUGAGCGUCCGGGUUCAAAUAGUAGUCAUAUCACGGCAAAGCGGAACCUUU